rnacentral:rRNA from 1 species
AAAAUUAGAGUGUUCAAAGCAGGCAGAUAUUUUUUUUUACUGCCACCGAAUACAUUAGCAUGGGAAAAUGGAAUAGGACCCUGUCCUUCAUGUUUCGCGUUGGUUGUGUGUUAAGUGCGUGCGCAAGCGCGUGGCUGACACAUGGUGUUCGUCUAAAGGAGGACCAGGGUAAUGAUUAAUAGGGAUAGUUGGGGGCAUUAAUAUUUAAUUGUCAGAGGUGAAAUUCUUGGAUUUAUGAAAGAUUAACUUCUGCGAAAGCAUCUGCCAAGGAUGUUUUCAUUAAUCAAGAACGAAAGUUAGGGGAUCGAA